UAGAAUGAAUGUUUACAGCAAAACAAAGUGCAAUGCACAUUACUAUUAUACGAGGUAGAACAUGAAAGUUAAUUGAUUCACUGCAUUAAUAUUAAUAUUUGUUUUAAUGUGCAGUUUAUUAACUUUCGGUUGUACACCAUAUGAGUUAUUUUCCGCUCAUUAAUUGAAAAUAUUUUAUUUGGUUGUGGCUUUAAGGUACCAGCUUCUCAUGAGCUCAGCCUCUAUGGAGCCAUCCAUGAUGAGGUCUCCAAACCCUUGUAUGUUAUUUGGGAUCGUGGCUGGUUGUGUUUCCUUUCAUUGCUUAUUUUUACUAGUAUUAAUGUUCUUUUCUUUGAACUUGUUGAAAGUAUGAAUGAUCAGUUACACAUUGGAUUAAAAAAUAGGCGAGACAAGUGAUUUAUGAGAGAAAUCCGCAUAUUUACUCGUACUAUCAGGACUUCCUUACACGACAAGGAAAUGGAAAUCUUGAGAAAGAAAAAUGAAAUUAAAUUUUAUUUUCAUCACUUCUGUAUAGUUCAGUUUGCUGUAAGCAAAAACAAAUAUGUUAGGGACACAAACCAGUUUUGCUGUAAAUGCAUUAUACCGACACUAUAUUAUUAUAGGGAAGUAGUAAGUUAGUAACAAUAAAUAACAAUAUUGAGCUCAAUGAGCCAGAUAAUUUAAAUGCGUACAAUCAAAAUUUCUUAACGAUGUUAGUCAUCGAGCCUGAAAGAAAGAAAAAAAAACAAGAUGUGUUGAAAUUUUUAAGGUUGAAUUUUGACUCACCGAUGCAGUUUAAUGGCAUCAUGAGCUCAACCUCUACCAAGCCAUCCAUGAUGAGGUCUCCAAACCACCACUCCUCAAGCAUACCGUUGUCGGAAGGGGACUUGUAGCAGUGGCGCGUGAAUAUGACGGGGAUGGUUGGGAAGAAUUGGAGCAAAACAAUAAUGAUGAAAAGAUAUAUUAACAAGAAUUACAAUGAAAAUCCCUGCAAGAUUGGACAGCUGCGAUUGUGACCUUAUUUGACCACAAUUCUCACCAAUUUCAAGGAUCGUGACCUUAUUUGACCGCAAUUCUCAACAAUUUCAAGGAUCGAUACACGACCAAAAUUUAUGUGAUUCACAAGAUAUGAAGCCAAAUGCAGAAUGUUAUAAUUACAACAUAUUUUUUCAAACCAAGCAUAAACAAUGAAAGAGAAAGGUCUCAUGCUAGCUUUUGGUGUGAUUGAGAACACCGACGUAAAGUCAAAAACUCGAUCCUAAAUAAAAAAAUAUGUUCUGAAACCUAACUACAAAGGACCAAUGUAGUGAUGUCAAACCAACAAACUUGAAAAUGUGUCUUUUGGGAUAAACUUGAAGUCCCACAUCGGAACUUUGGCAAAGAAAUGAGAGUUGAAGGGGCUAUAAAUGUAGCUUAGAAUGUAGUUGUCAUAUGUCUCAAAUCCAUGAAUAUUAUUCAUUCAUUCUAGUAUUUUCGGUAGAAUAUUUAGUUUUGGAAGGAUGAUGUAUGACAAAUGUGUAAACAAUUAAAAAUAAGUUGGUGUUUUUUGGGUCGUG
rnacentral:lncRNA from 1 species